rnacentral:rRNA from 1 species
AUUGAACGCUGGCGGCAUGCCUUACACAUGCAAGUCGAACGGCAGCACGGGUGCUUGCACCUGGUGGCGAGUGGCGAACGGGUGAGUAAUACAUCGGAACAUGUCCUGUAGUGGGGGAUAGCCCAGCGAAAGCCGGAUUAAUACCGCAUACGAUCUACGGAUGACAGCGGGGGACCUUCGGGCCUCGCGCUAUAGGGUUGGCCGAUGGCUGAUUAGCUAGUUGGUGGGGUAAAGGCCUACCAAGGCGACGAUCAGUAGCUGGUCUGAGAGGACGACCAGCCACACUGGGACUGAGACACGGCCCAGACUCCUACGGGAGGCAGCAGUGGGGAAUUUUGGACAAUGGGCGAAAGCCUGAUCCAGCAAUGCCGCGUGUGUGAAGAAGGCCUUCGGGUUGUAAAGCACUUUUGUCCGGAAAGAAAUCCUUGGCUCUAAUACAGUCGGGGGAUGACGGUACCGGAAGAAUAAGCACCGGCUAACUACGUG